CAAUAGCGUAUAUUAAAGUUGUUGCGGUAAAAAAGCUCGUAGUUGGAUUUCUGUUGAGAGCGACCGGUCCAUACCAUGUAUGCGUAUCUGGCUUGCUCUCGGCAUCCUCUCGAUAGACGUUACUGCGCUUGAUUGCGUGGUGCGGAUCUCGGGACUUUUACUUUGAGGAAAUUAGAGUGUUCACGGCAGGCUUUCGCCAGAAUACAUUAGCAUGGAAUAAUACUAUAGGAUCUUGGUUCUAUUUUGUUGGUUUCUAGAAUUGAGAUAAUGAUUAAUAGGGACAAUUGGGGGCAUUCGUAUCAACACGUCAGAGGUGGAAUUCUUGGAUUGUGUUGCGACGAACUACUGCGAAAGCAUUUGCCAAGGAUGUUUUCAUGGA
rnacentral:rRNA from 1 species